GAUACUCUUAUUCAUCUUAUUAUCUGGAGGGUAUAACAUUAUCCAAACUUAAUAUAUUGUAUUAUAUAAAAAUCUAUUUAGUUGAGGGGAAAAAAGAAAUGCACUUGAAACCCAACAAAAGGAAAAAGAUAGCAUAUAUGCAUACAAGACUACCCGAUUUUACAUACAAUUAUUUAUGGUGUUGCAUGAUCAUUAAAAGGAUAGGUUGUUCUAUAUAUUUUAUAUGAACACGUGCUAUAUCCUUUGAUAAUACUUUUCAGAUGAAUUUGAACUCAUAUACUUAUUUUAUAUGAACAUGUGCUAUAUAUAUAUCCUUUGAUAAGACUUUUCAGAAGGUUGUGCAAGUUACUUUUUAAGUAGCCAUGGACAUAAAAAUGUCCUUGUGAAAUUUUACGUGUAUAAGUUGACAUUUUGUUUUGUAAAGCUCAUAUGAUGGCUUGAUAAGAGAAUAUUUAUAUUGCACGUGGAAGGACCAACGUGACGAAUCUUAAAUGGGCGAAAUAGCUCAGAUCUACAGCAAAAGGUAACGAGGCCUACACAAAUCUACCACACGGUUUGGGAAAUAUAUAUCGUUAUAUGAUUAAGUGUGACUUAAGUAUUUUAACUGAAAUGUAACAUGCAAAUGAACUAAGGUAGCGUUCGUUUCAUGGAAUGGAAUGGAAUGGAAUUAGGAAGUUUUUCUUUGUAAAAUUGAUCUUGCUUGUUAUAACUUUUUGUAUUCUUACAAGUAACUUGAGGCAAAGGAAAUAUAACUACUGUUUUCUUUAGGCAAAGUAAAUAUAAAAGUAAUUCUACUUUGUAUAUAUGUAAUUCCUUUAGGCAAAGGAAAUAUAAAAGUAAUUCUACUUUGUUUUUCUAUUGGUUAAACAAUUAAAAUAAAGAAUUACAAGUUGCAUAAAAUUACUGUUUUUGUUUGGUAAAUGAUCAAGUUAGUCAAAAUAUAUGUACUAUUAACAUUUUUCUGCAAUGUAUGUGUAUUAUAUGAAGUGUAACUCAUUGCAGGUUAGGUUGGCUAGAUACAGCUUCAUGUAAUAAACUCUUGCUGGUGUUUGGUACUAUUUGUGUAUUUAGAUUUCACAUGUAGGAAUUAAAAGACGUUGUUUAAUAAUCUAUUGAAUAUGAUGUAGAUAAGAAUUAACUUGAUGGUGAUGAUUAGCACGUACAAAAAUCUUCAAACAAAAACAGAAGAGAUCGAAUAGACUACUCAAGGAUUUAAUUUAGUACAUCCACUCUAAUUGUUUUAUUUCCAGUUUUGACACUAACUUUCCUCAUAUGAAAACAUAGCAAUAUCGCUACUACAGUUGUACCAAAUUUGCUAAUUCCUCAUAUAUGUAAACAUAGCAGUAUUGCUACUACAGUUACACCAAAUUUGCUAAAAAAUCAAAAACCCUAAAAACCACACAGACUUCAUUUCAACUAUCAUAUUCGAUUAUUAUUCUUAUCCUACACCAAUUUCAGGUUUCGUAACAGUUACGAUAGAAGAAAACCGUGCAUGAAUUCUGUUGAUUUCAUGUACGGUACUUUCCACAUCGGAAUGAAUUAAGUUUAUCAACGAACACAAAACAGUAAAAAAAGUGAACAAAAUAGAAACAAGUGAAAGAAUACGUACGAAGCAUCGGUAGCGUAUUCGCAGAGCUUUCCUUUGGUGGAGAAGAUGAUGAGAGCGACAUCGGCUUCACAGAGAACGGAGAUCUCGUGAGCUUUCUUUAACAAACCGGAUCUUCGUUUAGAGAAAGUGACCUGCCGGUUGAUCUUAUUCUCUAUCCUCUUCAACGUCACCUUUCCCCUACCCAUUUUUUUUUUCCGGUGGUCUCUCUCUCACACACACAGAUGGACUUUGGUGUUCUAUAGUUAUAACUGUAUGCAGUUGCUUUGCUUUUAUCU
rnacentral:lncRNA from 1 species